rnacentral:rRNA from 1 species
UACGGAGGGUGCAAGCGUUAUCCGGAUUCACUGGGUUUAAAGGGUGCGUAGGUGGACUGGUAAGUCCGUGGUGAAAUCCCCAAGUUUAACUUGGGAACUGCCGUGGAUACUAUCAGUCUUGAAUACUGUGGAGGUAAGCGGAAUAUGUCAUGUAGCGGUGAAAUGCUUAGAUAUGACAUAGAACACCGAUAGCGAAGGCAGCUUGCUACACAGUCAUUGACACUGAGGCACGAAAGCGUGGGGAGCAAACAGG